rnacentral:rRNA from 1 species
GACGUAGGGCGCGAGCGUGUCCGGAUUUAUUGGGCGUAAAGAGCUCGUAGGCGGCUUGUCGCGUCGACUGUGAAAUCCCGCGGCUCAACCGCGGGUCUGCAGUCGAUACGGGCAGGCUAGAGUUCGGUAGGGGAGACUGGAAUUCCUGGUGUAGCGGUGAAAUGCGCAGAUAUCAGGAGGAACACCGAUGGCGAAGGCAGGUCUCUGGGCCGAUACUGACGCUGAGGAGCGAAAGCGUGGGGAGCGAACAGG